GUGAAUCAUCGAAUCUUUGAACGCAAAUUGCACUCCCUGGUAUUCCGGGGAGUAUGCCUGCUUGAGGGUCGUUAGAAGAAAAAUCGAAGCAUCGCUCUUUUUUUGAGGGUGAUCGCGUCGGAAUUGAGCCAUCUUUCAAAUGUUAAUUCAUGUCAAAGUAGCUUAAAAUUCAGCCAUCCGGUACGAUUAAAGCGUAUUUAAGAUCAAUUUUGAUUAAUAACGCGCGAUGACGUACCAUCUCAUGUAGUACGUUUGACCUGUGUCAUCAGGUUCAUUCGUAUACUAUACUCACACUUUUGA
rnacentral:misc_RNA from 1 species